UACAGAGGGGGCAAGCGUUGUUCGGAAUUACUGGGCGUAAAGGGCGCGUAGGCGGCCUGCUAAGUCGAACGUGAAAUCCCUGGGCUCAACCCAGGAACUGCGUCCGAUACUGGUUGGCUUGAGUUUGGGAGAGGGACGCGGAAUUCCAGGUGUAGCGGUGAAAUGCGUAGAUAUCUGGAGGAACACCGGUGGCGAAGGCGGCGUCCUGGACCAAUACUGACACUGAGGAGCGAAAGCCAGGGGAGCAAACGGG
rnacentral:rRNA from 1 species